rnacentral:rRNA from 1 species
CCUACGGGAGGCAGCAGUGGGGAAUAUUGCACAAUGGGGGAAACCCUGAUGCAGCGACGCCGCGUGAGUGAAGAAGUAUUUCGGUAUGUAAAGCUCUAUCAGCAGGGAAGAAAUAGCGACCUUUGGGUCGCCAGACGGUACCUGAUUAAGAAGCCCCGGCUAACUACGUGCCAGCAGCCGCGGUAAUACGUAGGGGGCAAGCGUUAUCCGGAUUUACUGGGUGUAAAGGGAGCGUAGACGGCAGCGCAAGUCUGAAGUGAAAUGCCGGGGCUUAACCCCGGAACUGCUUUGGAAACUGUGCAGCUAGAGGGCAGGAGAGGUAAGCGGAAUUCCUGGUGUAGCGGUGAAAUGCGUAGAUAUCAGGAGGAACACCGGCGGCGAAGGCGGCUUACUGGACUGUAACUGACGUUGAGGCUCGAAGGCGUGGGGAGCAAACAGGAUUAGAUACCCGAGUAGUC